AUAGGUGUCUAUUGCGGUGAGGUCCACCUCUUUUCCAUUCCGAACAGAGAAGUUAAGCCCACCAGCGCAGAUGGUACUGCUACUGCGGGAGAGUAUGUCGACGCCACCU
rnacentral:rRNA from 1 species